rnacentral:lncRNA from 1 species
AAAGAGAAGAAUUAAAAAGUUGAAACACUGCCAAACUAGCUACGCGAGUAGAAGAAGAGGAGAAACAUAUGGAUUUUGGAUUUCUAAGUUGUGUGAGUGUUUUCUUCAAAAGUAUUCAAUAUGUUUGAAAGGUUUUCAUUAAAGUCUUUAUUGAUUGAAUAAUGAUUUCAAUUUAAAUGUUUGUAAAGAGAUUUAUUUGAAAAGCUUAUGCUAUGCUUUAAAGCAUGUUUUAGAUGAUGCAAAUGAUUGUGGAAUGACGUUUAAACCAUUAGUCUUCUUCCUAUUAUUGAGCUAACUGUUAUGUGCACAUAAAGGGUAAACGAAGUCAAGUAAAAAGAUGUGCAUGGUGAAAUUAGGCGAGACAAUAUAUAAAAGAUGUGUAUUGCGUCUCGGCUUGAGCAACAAGGAGUGGAUCAGAAUAUUCUCGGAUGCGAACAAUGAAAAGGUCGUCUUAGUAGUCUAAACGCGGGAAGAUGAGUCUUUGCGUAGAGAAUGAUUUGGGUCAUUGAUGAAUGGAAUGACUUGGCUGAUGAUUAUGUAAAAAGUAUAUUUGAGUGAUUUGAAAUGUUAUGUUAAAGUGAUUUGAUGUGAAAAUUGAUAGUUACGAGAGAUAUUUAGCAAAAAGGAUUUCUUGAAAACCUCACUAAGUAUUUUGACUUAUGUUUUUAAGCUUUCAUUUUCAGGUUCAAGGCGUUAAGGCCAAAUAGGUAAAGAUUAAGAACCUGCUACGCGAGAAGAGUUGCCAAGCGUUUUAGUUAAUUGUUCAAGGG